rnacentral:tRNA from 1 species
GGAGCGGUAUCGAAGUGGUCAUAACGGGGCUGACUCGAAAUCAGUUGUACCUUAGGGUACCGUGGGUUCGAAUCCCACCCGCUCCG